UGUGGGACCUGGAAAACCCCCAUAUCGCCCAAAUCCCAAACACCCACCAUCUACCACAGGUCCCGCGAAUCCCGGGGGUCCCGAAGAGCCCGCGUAUCCUGUGGAUCCCGUGAAUCCUGGGGGACCCGAAGAGCCUGUGAGUCCCGGGGGCCUUCCUCGGCGUCGUCCUUGGCAUCACAGGGCCCAUCCAUAUCCUGAAGAUCAAAAAUAUUCCGACGAAUUAAAAAGCGUCGAAGCUUCCGAGUCAGGCGAAAGUCCGGAACAUCCGGUAGAUCAUAUUCAUCACAAGCACCCUCAUUCUACCACUCCAGACGGCCACGAAACUUCCGACGAUCCGGCGAUUCCAAACAGCGGAGAAAUUCCCGUGG
rnacentral:misc_RNA from 1 species